GUACACACUCCAUCUGGAAAUAGAUUAAGCCCAAUUUCUUUGCUCCAAUCACUACUAAGUUUGCCUCCUUUUACCCUUCCCAGCCCAGCUCCCUCAUGGCUCUAUUUACUUACGCAUGAGCAACUGGCAUCUAAUGCUAUAAAUCCCUCUCCUCUCAGGACCCAGUGGAACCUCAGACUAUUUCCUUAUACUGAGACUAGUCCCUGAACUUAUAUCCUCCCUCACUGCUAGUGGCUUCUCACCUCAUUUUUUCUCAGCACACAGACUCUCUUUCCAAGGAGGAGUCUCUAAAUGUAUCGUGCAUGACCCUGAUGAUAUCAUACUUAGGAGACAAUAAUAUGACUCUGCUGACAUCAUACUCAGGACAAUGUAUUACUAUGCUGAUAUCAUACCCAGGAGUCACUGCAGAAAAAAACAAAGAUGUGGAGAGCUAACACAUCUUUGGAGAUUUCUGGUGUGGUGCUAUUACUGUGUCCAUGUGUCUAAGACAGAGACAGUGACUAGAAACAAAGUUAGAGGAAUGGGUCCAUCCAGAGGGAGAGGAUACUGUGGCUCUUGUAUCCCAUAACAAAGACAGAAGUUCAAGGUUAUCCUCGCUUCAUAGUAAGUUUAAGACCAACCUAGGCUUUAAUAUGAGAUCCUGUUUCAAAAGUAAAGCUUAAUUCAUUUUGGGGGGGUUGGAAAGAAUGUUUCUGACUCUUCGUGCUCUCCCAGCGCCUCCUUUCUCUGACAAUUUUGACUAGGCAGCAGUCAUAGUCUGCUUACUACUUUGUGACAUCAAGGUGUGGUCUUCUGUCACCUCCAAGUGUUCCCAGUGUUCCUGCUUGUCUGUACAAAUACACCCUACACGCUGAAGAAUGGACUUUGGUCUUUUUUUUUCUUCACAAUGCUCUGCAGUGUCAGGGCUGUGAGACAAUUUGGAAGCAUGAAGUUAAUCUUUUCCAUUCCUACUGGGCCUCAAGCCACGAGGCUUUAGGGACUUCCUUCAACCAUGCAGCUAUUGGGAAUAGAAUAUGGAGUUGGUCCUGUUUAAUACAUGUUGCUUUAUAGGCUCUUCAUUAAUACAAGGGGGGGAAAUUUUUGACCUUUAAAUCACUGUCUAAACUCUUGUGAAUCUUACCCAGAAUGAAUUGUGCUUGCAAUGAAAGAAAUCAGACAUGGAUCAGGGAGAUGGCUCAGUCAAUAAAGUGCUUGCCUUAUAAGCAUAAGGGCCUGAAUUCUAGUCCUCAGCACCCACCUAAAAAGGCAGGCACAGUGCUGCAUGUUUGUAAUUCCAGCAAGGAGGAAGCCGAGGAAGGGAGAUCCCAAGAGCUAGCCAGGUAGCCAGCCAAUCAGGGAGCUUUUGCAUCCAGUCAAAGAGCCUGGCUCAAAAACUGAAAUGGCAAAUAAUUGAGGAAAGCACCCAAGGCCUGGCUUUUAUGUGCACACAAAUAUAUGUGUUUGUGUGCAUGAACAUGCAUGCACACAAAACACACACACACACACACACACACACACCACACACACACACACACACACACACACACACCACACACACACACACACACACACACACACACACACACACAAGAAAUCCAAUGCAAGAAUUAAAAUCUCAGCAUGAAAUGGCACGUUCAUCAUAGGCCCUGUACUUUCCCAAAGUCAGAGCACACUGUGUCUGCCCACGAGCCUUGGGUGUGUCUGGGAAAGACUCUGACAAACCACAGCCUCAGCUAAACUAGAAAUAGAGUCCGUUAGCUGUCCACAUGGUUGAUGGAGGGUGAAGGGGAGUGUGUCUCAGAGGGAAUGCACGUGGGCAAGGGUUGAUCAUCUGUCUAUGCUUGCCAAGUAACUUAUUCCCUUCAUGCUUAGAUCAUCAAUUAAUUUAAUCAUAUCUUUACAGGC
rnacentral:lncRNA from 1 species